ACUUCCGGCUGGAGCGUUGGGGUUCGGGUUCCGGGUUUCCGGGUGGGUGCGAGCUACCGGCGGGCGAGAGGACCGCACUGCGGCCCGCUGACGGGGCCAUGGAGAAGCUGCGGCGGGUCCUGAGUGGUCAGGACGACGAGGAGCAAGGCCUGACCUCACAGGUUCUGGAUGCUUCAUCCCUUAGUUUCAACACUAGAUUGAAGUGGUUUGUCAUAUGCUUCGUGGCUGGUGUUUCCUUUUCUAUCCUUGGAACUGCAUUGCUGUGGCUUCCUGGUGGCAUAAAGCUUUUUGCAGUGUUUUAUACCCUUGGAAAUCUUGCAGCAUUAGCCAGCACGUGCUUUUUAAUGGGACCCAUGAAGCAGUUGAAGAAAAUGUUUGAAACAACAAGAUUACUUGCAACAAUUGUUAUGCUUCUAUGCUUGGUUUUCACCUUGUGUGCUGUUUUUUGGUGGCAUAAGAAGGGGUUGGCCGUGUUAUUCUGCAUAUUGCAGUUUUUGUCAAUGACCUGGUACAGUCUGUCAUACAUCCCAUAUGCAAGGAAGGAAGUAAGUUUUUAAAUGAGUUGAAAAGAAGUUUGCCACUUGUAGUAUCCACAUGGAAGCAUCUUGAAUAUGUGAAGCAGGGAUGCAGUACUUAAAUGCUGUUCUUCUAUACUAAAUUGAAAAAUCAGAAACGUCACAUGGGAAAGGACACUGGAAUGCAGCGGGACAGUCUGUUGUGCAGGAGGCUGUCCCUGGUGCAAUGAUCACUCCCGCAGCGUUGCAGGCCCAUUUUGUGUUCUGGUAAAACACUCUUAGUUAAACUGUUCCAUGCUCAUUGCUUUAAAUGCACUGUGUACUAUUAACAUGGGCUUCCAAAGAUGAGAUUUUAAUCAUUGUCAAUUGUAAAUACUCUUUAGCCAGUGGUUUUUUUAAUGUUUUCAAAGAAGCUUUUGAAAUGUGAAUAUUUAAGGGAUAAAUCUGUGCUGUGAGAUACAUGCAGCUUGUUUGGCUUUUAAAACAUCUACAUUUUUAAGCUACCCAUUUUUUAACUUUGAAAAUGUGAAGCUUUUUACUUUACGCUUAAAAUUCCUUAUUAUGUACAUGUAAUAAAAAUAAUAUAUAUCUUUACAAUUUGAAAUAAACCGAUUUUGGAAAAAUAA